rnacentral:rRNA from 1 species
UACGGAGGGAGCUAGCGUUGUUCGGAAUUACUGGGCGUAAAGCGCGCGUAGGCGGCUUUGUAAGUUAGAGGUGAAAGCCCGGAGCUCAACUCCGGAACUGCCUUUAAGACUGCAUCGCUAGAAUCCGGGAGAGGUGAGUGGAAUUCCGAGUGUAGAGGUGAAAUUCGUAGAUAUUCGGAAGAACACCAGUGGCGAAGGCGGCUCACUGGACCGGUAUUGACGCUGAGGUGCGAAAGCGUGGGGAGCAAACAGG